AGAUGCAAAGCAAAAUUUGGAAAGCAAGAAUUAGCAAAUGCUUCAAUUUAUUUUAUUUUUUACAGUUGUUUAUGACGGCUUUAUUCAUAAUUGCUGAAAUUGGUAGCAAUCAAGAUGUCCUUCAGUGGGUGAAUAGAUAAAUUGAUACAUCCAGGCAAUGAAAUAUUAUUUAGUGCUAGUGAAUACCUCAAUUCAAAGCAUCAUAUAAAUAUUAGUGUUAAAUUGGGUAAGUAAUAAUUCAGAUAUAAAAAUGUGAUCUCUAAAAGCAAAAGUAGAAAAAAAUAAAAAUAAAACAGGAAAAAAAUGUGAUCUAGGGAAAUUAGCUUAUUAAUAAACAUUUAUUAAGUGCCUACCAGGUAUGUCUAAGGCACUGUACCAAGUCAAAAGAGAAAACAAAGGUUAAUUACACCUGAUUCCCAACUGCCAGGCACCUAACACCCAGGAGUAAUGAACUAGGAACCUCCCCUGAGAUGGGCAACAAAAUGUCCUAUGAGUGGCUCGCCCCAAACUACCUCUCUUAUCCUCAUCUUAUGUUUUUGGGCCUCAGGAUAGCAUGCUGGAUUAGCCAUGUUUUCAUACUGCAAAUCUACCCAAAUAUAAAAUGACGGCUUUCUCCUCUUCCCUUUGAUCUCGCAGAAUUACCAGUUGACACAGUACAGUGGGCAGCCAUUUAAGCAAAGAGAAAAUUCAAGACCUUUUAGGUUGAAUUUGAAGUUUUCUGGUUUCAGCUGGUUCUGCACUUAAAUUUCGGAAUAUUCUCUGCUUCCUUCUCCCACCUCCAUCUGCAUGUGAAGAAUAGUACCCACAGAUAACCCAACAGUCAUCCAACUAGAGGGCAAGAUCAUCCAAUUCCUUGCUACUCAAAGUGUGAUCUUGGACCAGCGGUAUCAGCAUCAUCUGGAAGUUCGUGGAAAAUGCAGUUUCAUGCCAUACCCCGUGCCUGCUGAAUCAGAAUCUGCAUUUUAACAAGAUCCCCAGGUGAUUUAUGUGCACGUGGAAGUCUGAAAGCAAUGGUCUGACUCAGUGAUUCUCACAGUUGAACAUUCACCAGGAUCACCUGAGGGGGUGACUUGUAUACUCUAUAGAUUGGGGAGGGGGUGCCCCUCCGAAGUUUCUCACUGAAUAGAUCUGAGAUGGGGCCCGAGAAUUUGCAAUUCCAACACGUUCUCAGGUGAUGCUGAUGCCACUGGACUGGGGAUUCCAUUCUGAGAGGCACUCAUUUCAUUCAUUCUACACUUGCUGAGGACCCAGAUACUCCGGAGUUCAGAUUCUAGCUGUGUGACAUCGGGCACUCUCCUGACCUCUCUGAGUCCACAUUUCUUUCUGUAUCACAUACAGAUAAUACCAGCCUUGCUGGAUUUUGUGAGAAUUCCAGGAGAUUUUGAAAAGCCAAGCACCUCACCCAUGCCUGGCCACAGAAUGUGCUCUUCAAAGCAUGGGCCACAGACCAGCAGCAUCAGCAGCAUCAGCAUCCUCUGGCAGCUGUGAGCAGCGUGUGAGAAAUGCUGAUUCUUGGGCCUCACCCAAGUCCUGUAGUAUCAGAAUCUGCGUUUUCACAAGACCCCUAGGUGAGAAUGAUAUGCAUUAAAGGCUGAGAAGAGAAGAUCUAUAAACCCACGGUCCUCAUUUCCCAGUUCCAGUUCAGGGUAUUGACGCUUAGGAAAUAGAGGUUUCUUACCCCAGAGUAGGAAUUACAAGCUGGAGUUCCAGCUCAGGACAUUGAUGCUUAGGAAAUGGAGGUUUCUUACCCCAGAAGAGGAAUUACAAUCUGGAGCUCCUAAAUCCCUCCUCAGUCUGCCCACUUUCUCAAAUUCCAGCCAUGGAACGAGGACUGGAGCCCCCAGCUCAGACCUGGACACUCACCACGAUCCACCCACAGGUUUGCAGAGUACAGCGAGGCAACAAAGGAGGCUGUACUUGAAUCCUUGUGGGCAGGAGAGAAGUGAGAAAGAGAAGGGAUAGAAGCAGAGGCCCCACAGGAUCUCAAGAUUCUAACAUAGAAAGAACGGAGACGCUCUGGGCUGCCAAGGAGAAUGACUUGCUCACAGGGAGAGCUGGUUUCUGUCAGAACAAAUGGCGCGGCUGAGUUCCCACCACAGAAGUCAGCCCCCUCAAUGUUCUGGUGUGUGAUUCUUUGGGAACAAAGUACUGUUUGAGAGGCAUUACCAUUGGUAGCUAUUUUAUUGUACAGACCAAAUAAAAAUGAAUCUGUCCUAAACAGUCUAAUGAACAAAAAUGACACAGAAGUGACUUCAGCAGGGGUGGGGAGGCAGCAUUGCUUUUUGCAUAUUUAUGAAUAAUGACAGCUGAAAAACAAUCUGACAGGAAAUAGAAAUAACAUGAUUUAUUUCAUGAAGAAUAAAAUUCUGGAACAUUUUGGAGACUAUCACCAGCUCCAUCCCCCCACCCCCCGCCAAUGAAGUGGCCCUUAACUUUCCAGUGAAUUUUGUCAUUGAACUUUCUCUUGGACACCUUUUGCACUGUGAUAGAAGGAGUUUGCUCUCAUUUUGUUAAACAUCUUGGGCUAGGAUCACUUUCUUUCCUUGAGGCUGAAGAAGCCUGAACAAACAUAAACAAGCCAUCACCCCAAAUACCCUAGCUACCAGAUUUACAGUGGAAAUCAAUACAGUGGUAUUCACUUUUUAGCUGGAAGAAGUUCAGGGAUGGGAAGUAAUUUAUCCAAGGUCACAGCCAGUCCAAGCUUGGGCUAGGUUUAAAAUUUAGAUCCCCUGUCUGCAGCCUCUUGAUAUAUAAAACAUAAACAUAAAAAUGAUGAGCUCCAAGCAAAAACUAGCUUUUAAACUUUUGAGUCUUGAUGUUGACACUUAGCUAUUUUUUUUCCUUCCCUAUUCCUUAAGCACUGACAUCUCCUGAAUAUAGCACCAGGGUGAUGUCCAGGAAACCAGAAGCAACUCUGGGGAAAACAGAUUUCAGCUAGCCCUUAAUCAAAAGCCCACUUCUGAAAAUUUGGCCUCCAUUUUGAGACUGAGCAGAGCCCCUUUGGAUUAACCCACUGUUCAACUCAUUUAAUGAAUAAGAACUCUGAGAAAUUUGCCUCCUACCUGCCCAGUUCCCAGAUACACUUCAAAAUUCAAAAAGAUGGAAAAAUCAGACAGUGGUUGCCUCUAAAGGGGAGUGGGGCUGUGAUUUUUUUGCUGGGAAGGAAGGGGAAAGAGGAAACUUUUUGGAGUGAAGGUAAAGGUUCAUUUUCACAGAAGUCUGGGUUAGGUGGUGGGGUAUGUAUGCAUUUGUCAAAACACGUUGAAUGAUACGUUUAAGAUUUGUGUCUUUCAUUAUAUGUUAAUUUUCCCUAAAAUAAAAUGCUGCAUAAUAAAACAAACACCCCAAGAAAAUAUUUGGGACAGUAAUAAGGUUAAUAGCUAAAAGUGCUAAAGUGGAAUUUUUAUCAGCUCCUGUCAUUAUCUUCACCAACCACAAAAUAUCAAAGUUCUUUGACCAUCUCUGUAGAGGGAAGUGGGUAGAAGUUCUCAAAGCCAAAACCUGUAUCUAAAGUAGAGAGUGUGUGUUCUGGGGCCAUUGUCUUUCCGCUGGCAUUGCCAGGAAACCAGAUCUUUGCCCCUGGAGGGAGCAGGCUUCCUUUACCAGUCGAUUCUUAGGUAAAAAUAGUUGCUGGGGUAGGGACACGUGUGGAGGGAGCAGGGCUGUAGGCUUGAAGGAACUGUGCAGUGAAUUCCCUGGAAGGGCCCCACGCAGAGUGCUGGGAACUUGGCAUCUAAGGUUCUCUGAUGUCUUCCCCUGCUCAAGCAUAAGAUCAAGCAGGCCAUUAUGGUUUUGGAAAAAAUUAUAAAAGCAUGUGGGUAAAGAAGAAAUGUUAUUACAAUCAAAUUGUUUGAGGCCAGGCAUGGUGGCUCAUGCCUGUAAUCCCAGCACUUUGGGAGGCUGAGGGAGGCAGAUCACUUGAGGCCAGGAGUUCAAGACAAGCCUGGCCAACAUGGUGAAACUCAAUCUCUACUAAAAAUACAAAAAUUAGCCAGGCGUGGUGGCGCACACCUGGAGUCCCAGCAACUCAGGAGGUUGAGGUAGGAGAAUUGCUUGAACCCAGGAGGCAGAGGUUGCAGUGAGCCAAGAUAGCGCCACUGCACUCCAGCGUGGGUGACAGUGAGACUCUGCCUCAAAAAAAAAAAAAAAAAAAAAUUGAGAGUCUUCUUUACCUUUCUAUUUCUACUUUGAUGAGAUCGGGCACAUUCAGGGUGGUAUGGCUAUAGUCUGUUCCCACUUUGAAUAUCCUUCCGUUCCCCAAUUUACCAAUGCCAUUUGCUUCUUUUGUUAUAUUUUCAUGAAAUAUUUCAAGGAUAGAAAACACACAGAAUAACAUAACAAACAGUGAAACCACGUUUGCAAGAAUUAAAACUGAGGAAAUUAUGACUGAGAAAGAGAUCAGAACUAACCAACUCCAUUUUGCUUCUAAACUUUAAGCUGUCCUUGUUCAUUCCUGGGCAUAGGCUGAACUAACUUUGGGAAGGAAUUCAGUUCAUGGUUUGACUCUGGAACAGAACUGAUAAUAGCCCUUUCCCGAAAAGACCCCCUUCUUGCCUAGGGACCAGUUUGCCUUUGCAGGACUAACAAAUUAGCUGCAAGAUUAGAAACUAUAGUUUAAGGGUCAUGCAGCCCCUGGCUCCAAGAGUCUGAACCUCCCCAAAUUGCUCCGAGGAAUAUCACUAUUAUAAAACCUAAGAUCAGCGCUUGAGAUAUUUUGCAGACCCUGCACUCCAUGGAUCAGCUGACACCACCCAGACCCGUAAUCUGGCUCAACCAUUUCUGCCAUCCCACCCAGGAACAGAAGACAGCAAGAAAACCUCACUUCGACCCCCUGUUAUUCCAUCUCUCACCCCACCAAUCAGCACUCCCCACUUCCCAAGACCCUACCCGCCAAAUAUCUUUACAAACUCCGAUCCUGGAAUGCUCGGGGAGACUGAUUUGAGUAAUAAUAAAACUCUGGUCUCCUGCACAGCCGGCUCUGUAUGAAUUACUCUUUCUCCAUUGCAAUUCCCCCAUCUUGAUAAAUUGGCUCUGUCUAGGCAGUGGGCAAGGUGAAGGAACCUGCUGGGCAGUUAUAAGAGUAGCACAUCCCUGAUCCAGUCUUGUCAGAUCACUUUUUUUCAAGAGUGAAAAUGCGCUUGAACUAGUGAUUAGUAAUUACAGACUAGUAAUCAAACAGUUCAAAUGAAUCAGAGUUGUCUUUCUACUAACAUUUAUGCUUUUGACAUUUUCCCCUCACCUAUAUGUUAUGCAUACUUGGAAACAGGCGUUUGGACAUGGUAAUUGGUCAUUGGAUACUACUCCUAUGUUUGUAAACAGGUGCAUAUGAGUGACUCUGUUCUCAGCUCUUUUGCUUUAGAAUUUAUACUGUCAGAUUUUUUUACUUAAGAGAGUUAUUACUAAAAUAAGUGAGGACCGGGCAUGGUGGCACACGCCUAUAAUCCCAGCACUUUGGGAGGCCAAGGCAGGUAGAUCACUUGAGCCCAGGAGUUUAAGACCAGCCUGGGCAACAUGGCGUAAACCCCAUCUCUACAAAAAAACACAAAAAUUAGCCAGGCGCGGUGGUGUGGUGCCUGUAGUCCCAGCUACUUGGGAGGCGGGGGUUGCAGUGAGCCAAGUUUGUGCCACUGCACUCCAGCCUGGGCAAUAGAGCCAGACCUUGUCUUGAAAAUAAAAUAAAAUAAGUGAGGUAUAUCUGCUUUCCCACCUCUACAGACUCUACGGUUUGGUUACUUUAUAUUUGUAUUCUUUCUAAUACUAUCAGCAAUUUCAAAAACGUUAAAAUGGAAAUCUUUAUAAUGAAAGUCAGCAAUUCUCAAACAUUUUGGCCUCAGGAAUCAUUUACAGUCUUAAGAAUCAUGGAGGAUGGCAAACAGUUUGUGUUUAUGUGGAUUAUAUCAAUUGGUGCUCACUGUAUUAGAAAUUAAAACCAAGAAAAAAUUUUUAAAUAUUUAUUCUUUAAAAACCACAAUAAUUAACCUAAUGUGUGUCAAUAUAAAAGUGUGUUUUAUGAAAAUAACUAUUUUCUAGAUUAAAAAAUAAAUUUAUUGAGAAGAAUGGCAUUGUCUUACAUUUUGCUAUCUCUUCAGUGCCU
rnacentral:lncRNA from 10 species